AUGAUCAGGCCAAAUAUGCGACCCUGUCCUACUGUUCCCUGCCAAGGUUGCAUGAAAAAAAUAGGAGUCAACAUGAAAAGAAAGGAUCAGAGCCAGUGACGAUGCAAUUUUUCUAAAAAUCACUACCUGAUCCUUGAAUUCUUGGAAUUCGUCUAUUCUUGCAUGGGCGAAGAAUGCCUCAUAGUGUGGAAUAUUUUGGAAGACCAUGUGCAAAGAAGGUUACCUGCUGGCUAAUAUACCUACUGUGAGGACUCUCACCCAGUGGAUAGGAGCCAACCUAACUGCGAGGUCCUCUCA